rnacentral:rRNA from 1 species
AUUGAACGCUGGCGGCAUGCCUUACACAUGCAAGUCGAACGGUAACGCGGGGCAACCUGGCGACGAGUGGCGAACGGGUGAGUAAUACAUCGGAACGUGCCCAGUAGUGGGGGAUAGCCCGGCGAAAGCCGGAUUAAUACCGCAUACGACCUACGGGUGAAAGCGGGGGAUCGCAAGACCUCGCGCUAUUGGAGCGGCCGAUGUCAGAUUAGCUAGUUGGUGGGGUAAAGGCCUACCAAGGCGACGAUCUGUAGCUGGUCUGAGAGGACGACCAGCCACACUGGGACUGAGAAACGGCCCAGACUCCUACGGGAGGCAGCAGUGGGGAAUUUUGGACAAUGGGGGCAACCCUGAUCCAGCCAUGCCGCGUGCGGGAAGAAGGCCUUCGGGUUGUAAAGCUCUUUCGGCCGGAGAGAAAGCCUGAGCUCUAACAUAGCUUGGGGUUGACGGUACCGGCAGAAGAAGCACCGGCUAACUACGUGCCAGCCGCCGCCGUAACAC